rnacentral:lncRNA from 1 species
AUAAAAACGGUUAUCAAAGAGCAAAAGAGAACCGAAUUCUUUACCCUAUAUGUUAUGUUCUCUCCAAACACUUUCUCUUCUUCCACCUUUUCUUCCCAUCCCUAUUUUCAACUUCCACCGCCAUGCCCUACCUUCAUAUCCGCCACCUUCCGCCGCCGUAGUCGCCGCAGAAACCGCCGCAACAUACUCUCCUCCCCUACCUCAACCCACUCUGAACCCAAAAUCGAAACCGUUAUCGACCUCACUCGCUUGACCACAUUCCAAACUUCACUCCGUUCCAAUAUUCGCCAAUUCGUUUCUAAUGCUGAAGAUGCUUAUACCGAUUUGCAAACCCUACUUACUCUUGACCAUAACCGAAGGCUCGUCGUUUCAUGUCGCCCUUCCACCUUGAAUUUUCUCGCUACUUCUACUCUCUUCACGUUCCUCUCGUUUACCGCUCUCAGGUUAAUUAUCAAUUUCGGUUCUAGGUUUUUGAAUUGGAGCCGAAACGCGUCUAGCUAUAGUGCUCCUAUGGUUAGGAGGGAUAGGAGUCUCGGCGGGAGAGAGGUUGUUGUUGGAACUGUGAUGGCGAAGAAACCGGCGGCAAAUCCGUUAUCGCCGGCUGAGAGGUCUUUGAGUUUGAGACGAGCUUCGAGAAACAAGGUUGUUGGAGCUUCGAAGAAAUUGCCGAAAUGGUGGCCACAUGUAAUCAAUGGUGCUGUGUUGGAUGUUGAUGAUCAAGAGGAAUAUAAGAGGGAAGCAUACAGAGUAGUUCGAGGUUUGUUUUGUUUUGCUUUGAUUUUGUCUUUCACUUUUAUUUUUAGUUCAAUUCAAUUACAUUGUGUCCUUGAAAAUUAUUCUCAAGUAAGAUAAACGGUAAGGUUGUUGCUUAGUGACCAUGAUGUCACAUGUUCAAAUCCUGGAAACAGUCUCUCCACUUGUAGGAUAAAAAUGCGUACAUCUAUAUUCUCUAUAUCCCACUAAGUGGAAGCCUUGUGCACCGGACUGCCCUUUUAAGAUAGGCUGGUUGAAGACAUAUAGGUCACUCAAAAGCUAAGGGUUCUUUGUCACUGGGAAAUAAUGCUAGCAACAAACACUCUUUGAAUGUUAUAUAGAUUAUUAUAUUAAGUGAUUUUAGUUUUGGAACUAGAGGUAAAGGGAUUUGGCCACUUGACACAAAUAGUAAAGGUUAUGUUAUAGAUACACUACCUUUGAUACAGAGUGGACCUAUGCGACAGUUGUACAUGAAUUAAAUCCAACAACAAUGAGUGUGUUUCUAGCAUUUCUCAUCUCCUAUUUGUAAUCUCACUUUGUAGGUUCAUAUGUACUGUUAAUACAUCUGUAUUGACAAAAUAAAUUACAGUGAGCUUCUUAUUUGUUUUAAAUACACGGACAAGAUGAUGAAAAUAGUGACUCAUUUUAAUGAGGGGAAGAGGGUAAUGAGUAAAGAACAAUUGCAUAAACUGCUUUUGGUUUCUGUUAUUUUUAAUUUGUUACUCACAACUGUGAUGUAGUUUAUUAAUUGUUACGCUUGUGACUGGUGUUUACUUUCCAGUGCCUAGUUAAAUUAUGAUUCUAUUGAUGCACUUUUUUUGUAGGUAAAGAUACACAUUUCAUAAUUUCCAUAUUCUUAUCCAUCCUUUAAUUCAAGUUGCAACUCAUACUUGAUUUCCAGCAAUUGUUGACAGUAGAAUGGCCGGAAAAGACAUCAUAGAGAAUGAUAUAAUUCAGUUACGUCAACUAUGCAGAACUUCUGGUGUGCAAGUAUCGGUUGACCCAACAAAUGUUCGGGAUUCCUUGUAUCGAGCUUCUGUUAACUUUGUCCUAAAUGUUUGCAGCAGGGGACCAACUUCCUCUACUUCAAUUGAUAUUGAUGGUGAGGAUGCUCAGAAAUUCCUUGCUGGAUUUGCUGAAAACACUGGCCUUGAAAAUGUCCGUGCUGCAACAAUGGUAUCUGCAGCUGUUGCUUCUCGCACACGCUCGUGUCUUCUACAGGCUUGGGCUCUGGAAAUGCAAGGCAAACAUAUUGAUGCUAUGGUAGAACUGUCAAAGAUAUGCCUUUUUCUGCGAAUAUUUCCUCCGGAUGAGUCUUCGGUAUGCAUGUCCAAUAUUAAUUUUCAAUUUUUAUGCAUUUUUCCCUGUUAAAUUUAUCCACCUUUCCUCAAUGAAAUUUUUAAUUGGUAUUCUGUAUAGUUUUUCUCAAGUGUGGCAAAGCUUAGUUAUAGUUGCUUCUUUAAUGUUAUUCCUUUUUUACUAUGGCCAUCAUAGCAUUUGUGUGUAUCCUAUAUUAUUGUUAUCAUGCUGUCUUUGUUUUCACUGAAUUUAAAUUCAGUUGUAACUCUUAAUGCUGGGAUGAGUGAAGGAUGAAUAAUUUGUGGGGAGAAUUCAAGAUGAGAAAGCAAGUACCAAAUAACCACUCAUUGUACUUAUUCAUUUUAAAUUUUGAAUAUUGCUUAUCAUACCUAACUUCAUUAAAAAUAAAAGAGGGGAGGUACGGGAAAGACCAUGAUCAGAAAUCCCCAAAAGUAGCGAAAACAAUACUUAUUGGAUAACAAAAGGUGGCCAAAUGCACGAGGCUUCCACAUAGUGGGUAUGGGAAUGGUAAAUGGCAGCCUUACCCUGCCCAAACAAAUCCGCCCAAUCCUUUGUCUGAAAUGGCAACUCACGUGAAAUAAGCUGCAGGAAGUGGAGAACAACAUGGGGAGGCUAUGUGCACAACCUUAUCUCACAGUUGUUCAAUCCUAUGAAGGACUGUUGACUGCAAUGUUGUGUUGAACAUUAAAAAAUAUCUGAAAGGGAGUGUCUGUAUGUGGUUUUAUGUAGAAAUCAUUGUCUGAUGCACCAUAUAAUUUAUGUAUGCACUUAUUUUUCUCUAAUAGCUCUUAUUAUGGGUGUUUCUUUGAAGCCUGAAAUGGAGAUGGUUGGCCGGGGCCUAGAGAAACACUUGAAACUGGAACAAAGAGAACACCUUAUGUUUCUUUUUGGUAAAGUCUGUGGCGAGGACAGUCAAACAAUUGCAAGAGAAGCCCUUGGUUUGACUUAUUCUGAAUACAAUGAUCAACUUGAAGACAACUUUGCGUGAAAGAUUCACUCUGCCUGCAUACUUCUUCAAAAUGAAUAAUAAUUCAAUAAUAACUAUCCCUACAGACUGCAUUCUUUUAGAAGACUUGGUUUAAAGUUUUAAGUUGUUUAGCUAUAUACAUGUUUGUUCAAUGAUAUUUUCAUUGUUUAUUUAAGCAAUGUAUAUUAUUAGAGGUUAUUAUUACCCAAAAGGUCUCUCAUUCUAUAACAUUAAUUAUUUAAC